AGGCCCCCCCAGCCCUCCACUCACGGAGCAGCCGCGAGAGGAGUCGCUGAUUUUCUCCGCCCGCGACGGGGAGGGUGCAGGCGGGAAUUCCGGCGGCCCCGCCGUGGCCAGACCACCUUAAGGGGAGCGGCGGCGGCGGGCGCGGGCUGCGAGCGCGGCGGGGCCGUCCCGGGGGGUUGUCGCGCUCCCGGGACGGGGCGUUUGUUUGUUAAUUGAGGCGCUGCUGCGCCUGGCGCUCGCGCGGCGCUCCCGCUGCGGCCCUAAUGACUGGAACCGCGGGAACGCGGCGGGGCCCGUCUGCCGGCGGCGGGAAUCGUGUGAUUCCCGGGGAGUCACACGGAGAGAAGCGGGGCCGGGGGGGGAGCGAGCCCGCCCCGGGGGGCGGUGCGGGGCGCCCGAGGAGGAAAUGGAACGCGUGAGGCCAAACAAGGAACAAUCCCCGGGUUGUUGGCCGAGCCAACAGGCUGCUGUCGUCUUGUGAACCAACGCGAGGAUUACCCCGUUAGGAGGAAAUGGGCGAUGAUGGGGCGAUAAACGCGCCCGCUGUGUAAUCACAAUUGAUUUGCAAUUGACCGAGCGCCGCUCCCGACCCCGCGCCCGCCCCAGGUCUCACAGGGCUGGGAAGCUCUCGGAGGCCGUGGCCGCGCUCCUCCGCCUGCUCGGACUGUGCGGUCGGUCCCGCUAUUACACGCGCGGUGCUGUUUGUCACCAUAAUCAGAACUUCCCCAAAAGUAGCAGGUGGUUAUUUUAGCGCCAAUUUAGUUAACACCAUUGUGAAAAGUCUUACGAGAUCGAACAAUGCCCGGUGAAGAAAACGUCUGGCACAGGACUCAGUGACGGAUAGAGGUUUAAAAAGUCUCCAGUCCUGGAUGCGAUGCUCCAUUUUAAGAAGUGACUUUUUUUGUGUGUGUGUGUGUGUGUGUGUGGUGACUGCUUGAAGCGCACCUUAUUUAAAAAUCUCUACAGAAUGUAAAACUGAGUCUAGUCGGGGGAGCCGGGCGAGUCCGUAAAUUACCGCUCUGUCAGGAUUCCUCUUGCCUGUUACAAAGUACCUUUUUAUGCUGAACUUAAACUUUACACUACAGAGACAGCAGAUGUGAGGUGAUGGCUUCCAAAAGCAACACAGAUGCUGUAAAAUUUCCAUUGCUAUAUUUCAGCAAGGAAGCUCAGGAGACAUGCUGAAUGCUGCAGUUUAGAAUUACACUGUAACUCUCCUAGAAAUAAGAGAAUACUAAGUUUCUCAACAGUACAUUUGGCUUCAUUUUUGCUGUCAUUCAUACGCUCUUGUCUUCUUACAGCGAAGAGAUGCAGCACAAAGAUACUGUGUGUCUUGAAGCUGUUCAGUAAUGACAGAGUUGGUAAUAUGGAACUUUAUGGUAAUUUAGUAAUGACUGCAUAUCCAAAUUCCCUAGUAAGACCAUGAUAAUUUUUAAAAUUGUCUUUCAGGUAUAUAAAACAGCACAGCUGCGAGGAGGCUGCUUUGCUUUAUGUGACUGAAAAGCAGCCUGGUUAGCUCAGCACUGUGGAAUCAGAGCCCAUUGUGUGUUCCUCAUACUUGGAGACUCCCCUGAAGUCCCUAGAUGUCCUGUGAUGAAGGAAUCGAGGGUCAAGUCUUUAAAAUGGUUUGUGUGUUUAUUCCAGAAAAUUCAGCAGCUGCUUUUUCUGAAAAGCUGAACUUUGCUAUAGCAAUGUAGAAUACUUUAGAGCACUUUUCCCCCUGGGAUUUCAAAACAGAUGUCCAGUCAUCAAAUCCUGCAGAAAUAUAAAUCUGGCAAGAAUGUUACAGAUAUUAUAUCUUUUUACAAAGUUACAGAUUUGACUUGUCAAAUGUAGUCACUUUCUGACUAGUCUUUGUCACUACAGAUCUUUGUUGCCACAGACACUCAUGCCUCUUUUAGUCAAACAAUUAGGUUUGGCACUGGCCCCUCUAACAUAAGCUUAAUUUUUCUGUGCAUCUGAGGCUUUGCAUUUGGGAUUAUAUGGAUCCCACCAAACCAGGUGAUGGUAGCUACAGGGCAUUUUAGUUCAAAAUAAGUAAAUUUGCCUUUUUUUUUUUAACUGGAAGUAAAAGUGCCACAUGAAAUCUUGGAUUUAACAUGCUAUUUUGUUUAUGUAAAAAUAGAGACGUUUAGUUCAUAAGAUUGAAAAAAUUGCUUUUUAAUUCCCACUGAAUGUUCUCCAGUAAAUUUUAGUGAGGCAUUGUCUGCAUUGGAUAGGUCACUGAAUGGUGGUUUUAUAAAAGCGUUUGAAAAGAAGAACUUGGUCCAUGGAAAUUGUUCAAAUAAUCUUGUUAGAAUGAAGCCUUGACUGAAGGCAGUAAUUUCAUGGAUUAAACCCAGAAGGGCUGGCUAGGCUGAUCUCCUUCCUAUCACAGGCCACAGAGCUUUGUGCAGAGACUGUCUAAGCAAAUGCUGGUUAGCUGCAAGACAUGGGGGAUUUUGCAUGGACAAUACAUUGAACAACACCAUGAAACUGGAAACUGGAACUUUUUGAGGACAGGAUAAAUAGGAGCUGGAAGAAAGAGUAUUUUUACAGGCCAUUAAUAAACACAGUGAGGUAGAGUUGUUGUAUCUAACAAUGUUCAGAUUUCCCCUAAAAAGUUCCAAUUAAAAUUAAGAAAGACUGUUUUUUUCCUCCAGUCUAUCCUUUUCUCUCACAUGCCACAUGUGGUCCAGAAGUGAGCAAUGAUGGCACAUCCAAGUAUGGGAAGGAAUUGCCUGGUUUGCACUUCUGCAAGUCCAAAAAGCACAAAUUAUGAGCAAAAAUCCAGUGCUGUGAAACCUGAAGAGAAAUAGGGAUAGUAAAAUACAGUGUGCAUAUCUGUCUUACAGUUUGAUAUUUUUCCUUUUACAAAAAUAAAUAAAUAAAUAAAUAAAUAAAUAAGCGGCAUUCAUACACCUUCCGAGUCAGCCUGUACUUUAUUGUGAUUCAUGAGAACUUUUUGUAGGCAAGAAUAGCGUUCUGCUUACAUUUCUUCAGGCAUGUCAGAUCUGAUACCAUAGUGGUGCUACUGUUGUUCAGUGAGAUACAAGAGAGACUUCAGGAAACAAGAAUACAAUGUGCUGCAAUAGCUACUCCUGGAGUGCAGUGAGCAGGUGACAGAGGAGGAGGAGAAACUUCUGGAAGAGUACUUUGCUGUCGCUUUGUCAUAAAGGAUGAUCACAAAGGAUGAUCAGUGCUGUGGUCUGAGUAUUGCUCUGACACUGAAGCUGCAAAUUUGGCCCUGAAUGUGUUUGGAGGAUUUUCUGCUGACCAUGUUUAAAUUUUUUCCUGAAGAAGAAAUUUAAACAUGCACCUUUGAGUGCAUGGGCUUUGCUAGAGAAGGAGUGUGAGCUGCAGAAUGAGUGUAAGGACUCAGUGGGAACAGCAGUUUAGCAUGAGGGCAGUAUAAGAGGAGCUCCUGUUCUCCCACACUGUGCAGUUGGUGAUUGGGCUGCAAAGUAUUGGCUCUCUCAGUGUAAUUGUAUAUUGCUUCAAUUCUCAUUAGUGAAGCAAUGCAGGAGGAAGGAAUGCACGAAAAUAAAAAUUAUAAAGAUGGUGAAGAAAAAUAAGGGUUCUUGAGGGGUUUUUCCAAAAUAUUGUAUUUUUCUUUUCCCACCACUAGUUAGCAAGCUGCAUUUAUAAUCCACCUGUGCUCCAGACAGUAAUACUUCAUGGUGUGGUGUUUCACACAUGAUAAAUCAUGUGACUUUUGAAGACAAAUUGCACUGAAUUACAGUCUGUUGAUCCAUUGUCACUGGAUGUCAACUGUCUGCUGAUCCAUUGUCAUUGUCUCUAUUUGGAGAGCAACACAAACUCCAUGAAUUGCUAACCAUAAAGUAUGUGAGGGUAAAUGGACAGAGUGAGUAGUGUUGUCUUCCUCUGAUUACCCAGGUAACCAUGAAUUUACUUUUGGGCUGCUGCUAGAACAUUGGUAUGUAUAUGCACUUCUGAAUCUCAGGAAGGUUAUGUGGAUUCAGGUUGGCAAGGAGAGGUCUGGUCCCUGGGUGUUAAUAUGAGAGUAUAAACAUGCACCACUCUCUUCUCGAAGUGAAAGCAUGUCCAGGCCUCUGGCACACCAGUGACUCCUGCAGUCAUGUUUGUGGUUCUGUCUCCAUGCUCCACCAAAAUGUAGUUAGUGUUCAUAUAUGCUGGAAUGGCACAUUCACCAUCACUACUCCCAGCAUGGGCUGGGAAGUCCAUUUGGUCAGUCUUCAGUUUUGGAGACCUCAGUUUUAACGACAUGUGUAUAAACCCCUGCAAAGCUUCUGAUAAAUAUCCACUGCUGUUGCAUUGCUCCCUGCCUUGCCUGUCUGGGAUGUGGCCCUCUGGGAUGGGCAGCUUCCAAAUUACAGCUCCCACCUGGCCUUAGGAUGGUAUGACCUGCAGGUAUCUGGACUUUGAUGUCACAGCUUUGGGGGAAUUAAGGGGACUCUAUCAUUAACUUGACCUCCUUGACUUUGUUACCUAGUCCAUGUCUGGGUGGUAGCAGAUGGGUGAGUAGCUCAUUUAACUCUUACCAACUCUGAGUAUUGGUACUGACAGGGUGAAAGGAAGAGCCAGAACAGAGUGGGUGGGGAGGGCAGGUUGCCUCUCAUGUAGGGUAAAUCAGAUUUGGGAUGGCUCAGUUGCCACACUCACACAGCUCUGGUGGCACUCUUGGCAAGAAAUCCUGCCCAGCCUGUGUGCAGCUGUGUGCCAGCUCAUCCAGCCUGGUGGAAGAAGGUUGGUGCAGAGGCAAGAUUAAGUAGUGUAGUCCACUUUGAGCUAAACCCUUCUGCAUAAGGUACAUGGAGACCUUAGCUUGCACAUAUACCCUCUCACAUGCUGUAAAUUAAAUGACAAAAUAAACAGGUGAUGUGCUUCUGAGGAAGAAGUGAGCUGAUGAAAAAAUGACACUUUAUUUUGAAAGGCAUGGAUAAGACUAAAACCCAGAUAUAAGAAAGCAAAACUUUUUAUAACUGAUUUGAAGAGAAACAUGUCAUUAAAUCCUUGAAAAAUAUGAAGUUGGUCAUCAAUUCUGAUGCUACUUUUUGCCCCUUGGAGGUCCGUGGAACUAUAAGUUAAGGGAAUAAUGUUUUGCAUAUGUUUGAAGUAGACAUUUUUUAAGUUUCACUGUUUCCAAUCCCAAUUUUUGAUGGAUACCCAGUAGUAAUUUUUAAAAUACUGAAUGAUAAAAUCACAAUUUAUCCAGGAGAUAAAAAUGAAAUAACAGAUGUAUCUUUCAUCACUGAUUUUGAAUAUUUAUUCUUUGUAUUUCAUUUUUUCUAAACAAUUUUUUUAUUUCUACAGUUAGACCCUGACUAAUUCUUCGCUGGGACAACAGUGGCUGGGACAACAGUGGCUGGUUAUUCCAAAUAUGAGAAACACAACAUGCUUUGACAGAAUUCAGAGGACUUUGGAAGACUUUGUCUGGAAACAAAAACUUCUGGAUUUGGAAUAUGUUACUGUAGUCCUCCUCUGACAUUACAGCCUGGAUGCCUGCUGGCCCUGCUCUGCAAGGCUGAGGCUGCCUUCCACCUUUGACAUUUUGCCAUGAUCUUUCCUCCUUGAAGGGAGUGCUGUAAGUGGGGAAUCCCUCAAAAAGUGAUCUGUCCUCAGAAUUCUCAUUUAAAUGUAAGUCUGGUUGAUAGAGGUCUGCCACAUAAAGCAGGUAAGCUAGAGAUACAAUGAAAUGCUACACUAGCAUUUCUUAAUAACAUACUAUGUUUUCAAUCAAAAUAUUUUUGUUGAUAAGUUUGGAUUUUUGGUAAGGAAAAUAUACUUGCAGAAGCACAUAUUUAGACAUGCCAAAAACCCCCAAACAAUCCAACCAGAAAGUGUUUAGCUGAAAGCCUCAUUUCCCAUCAAAAAUAGAUACAGUGGAAAAUUUUCAAGAAGCCCUAUAUUUAACCUCCUUGGAUCAGAAUUUGGUUGUUGGACUGAGGGAGGCUUACAGAGUUCUUUGGCUGCUUUUGUUAGGGUGUCUGUUUUUUCACUCAUGACAUCUGCCUGCUUUUCAAGCUAUAUCCAACCUUGUUAUAACUCUUGCUAUUGCAGCAUUUUACUGUGUUCAGAAUGCUAAUUCCCACUGGACUCAACUCACUUGAGUAUGUACAAACUCAGUUUCUUUCAAGGGGUGCAUCAAUCUUGCUUUUUAAUUUUUUUUAUUAUUUAAAAAAAAAUUUAUUUUACUUUGGCUGUGUUUUACUAGGAAAAUGUGAGUGCUGUGUACUGACUGCACAAAACAGUUAUCACUACAGUGCAGCUCCUAGUUCUUUGCCCAAGGUAGCCUUGCUUUGGCACACUGUGGAUACAAAAGUUUAUAUAAUUUUAAGGGAUAAUUGGAUAAGUGAAAGAGAAGGUCCAUUGGGCAAAAUAAAUAGAUAAAUCACAUCAGUCUCAGGAAUUCUUGAGUGGAAUAUAGUUGAAAUGCUAGAGAGUUAUUCUGGGAAAAAGGUAUUUGAUUUCUUUGCUCAUGCUCUCUUCUCUUCACUCUGACUUAUGCCUGCUCUUGGAAGCAGGAUACUGACCUAAAUGGACCUUUGAUCUGAAUUGUCAUAGCUAUCCUUGGAUGGGGAGAAGUACACUGACAAAUGAGUAAGCAUGGGCUUUGGCCAUCUGGAAUUCAGCAACAUUUUUCAAAAAAUAUUUUUUUUUUUCACCAAGAAAAGUUCAAGCGAAUCACUAAAUAUGUGAGCAUGGGAAUAGAGAAUUUUGUUUGAAUAGAUUGUGAUUCUGGAGUUUCAAGCAUUCUGUUUAUUUAUUUUUUUAAGUAGGUUUUGCAGCUUCCAUUUCUCCUUUGUUGCUUUUUGUAGAAGUAAAAAUUUGCAGCAACUAUGUCUCAAAUACAACUGUGAACCGUUUUCUGCUCUACCCACCCAAAGUUGGUGGGUAGAACAUUAGUGUGAGAAUCCUGCAAAAUUCCCUGGACAUUGUAUUAUGACAAGAAGAGAAAGCAAAGCAAAUAUUAAAAAUCAGGGAGGAACAUCGUUAAUAUGAUCUGCAUUAGUUUCAGUAUGAGUUAUGUUCUGUCAUUAGUUCAGUGUCAGAAUGCAGUUUGUAGCCAGAAGCUACCACCAACUGGCAACAUGAGGCAUUUCUUGAGCAAAACUUGAUUUUUAUUCUUUAUUGCUUGUUUUGUAUUUUAACAGCUUUAGAGAAAUAUCUUUCCAGAUAUUCUUAACUUUGUUUUCAUGGUAGUUUAGCUUAGUUCAUGACUGCUAAGUAAUAUUAAGUAAUACUAUUAAGUCCUCACAGGUAUUAAUGGUAAAAUCUAUAAAGGAGCAUACUCUUAGUAAAACAACAGGGGUUUUUUCUAUAUUUUUAAUAAACUCUUCAGAAUUUUUAUGAUUUCCUGAAAAUAGAUAUAUUUAAUUUUACUCCUGUGUGCUUAAAUUUACCUGGGUGUUAUAUUGGCCAAAAUAGGUAGGGUCUCUUUUAUUUUAUUUCCUGACGUGGCAUGCACUUUUUAUUCAGAUUUCUGUCAGCACAAUUUUAUUAUAGUACAUUGUUAGUACUAGAAGCUCCCUUUUAUUAUUUUAGAACUAUUUAAAAUAAAUAUUUGGAAGAAAAUAUAAUAGCCAGACAACAUUUAAAAGAACGAAAGAGUUUGAGUGUUGUUGAGAAAUAGAUUCAUCAACCCAAAGAGUGGCAGGAAGGACAACAGAGAAAGGAAAGCACAAUAUUGAAGCAUAAGAGUGAGCUCAUAUGGUGCCAGCUGCUUAUGUGUGGAAUCUAAAUACUUUCUGAAGCAUAGUGCUCCACAAUCAAUUAGCAUUAAUUCAAAUAAUCUUUGUAUAAGGAAGAAAUUUUAGUACAUUAGAAUUCAUGAGUUGGAAAAAGUAGAAAAAAAAUGUUUAUGCUUUCCAAAAAAAAGCAGUAAAAAUAUGUAAAUUCUAUUAAAAUUAAUUUAGAAAUUCUGUGAAGUGAAAGAAGAUAGUGUAAUCCUGUCUCUAUAGUGUGUCAAGAAUGGCAGAAUAGAGCAACUUCUCUCACAUAAUUUUGUAUGGCUUAAUCAGAAUUUUUAUGAUAAUGUCAAGAACUGAGAAGCAAAUAGAGUUGCAAAAUCUGUCCACUCUUGAAACUGAAGAAUUGAGGAGAGUAAUUGGGUGCAAUAUAAACAUGUGUUCACAAGUAAUUGGACUGACACUAUUAAAUUUCUUUCAUUUCAGUACUAGGUAGUAAUUACUUUAACUUCAAGGAAAAGAGAAGAUUACAUCCUGUAAACUUUGUCAUGCAAAAUAAUCUGUCCUCCUGUCAGUGAAGCUGGUUACUUUAAAAUGUCUGUUUGCUUGAGAAAAGGUGUGUCAAAUCAGGUCUGUGGCUUUAUCUCCUCUCAUGGUAUUCACAUCAGCAGCAAGUAAUGUUAGAAGAAUAAAGUCUCUCAGGCUUUAUAUUAAGGAUUCAAUUAUUCUGUAUAAUUAGCCCUGAUUUGUUAAAUAUUUGAAACAUUUUCUACUCUUAGGUAUGGAACAGUGUACUGGAGUGAUCAAAACCAUAAAUAACUUGUACCUUUACUCAGAAAAUGCUUUUUUAUCAAAUAAUAAUGAAGAUUAAGCCUAAGUCUCUCUCUUUUUCUGUUUGGAUUUUAUUCCUACAAGAAAUAUCACUUUUGUCCACAAUCUCUUGUGUAUUUCUCGUCCCUUGGAAUACAAAGAGGCAAUGGAUUCUGGAAUAAAUUAGGUAGAUUUAAUGAAAUUUAUGAAUUGUAACUUGUGCCUUGAAUAUAAAAUACUUGAGUGAGGAAUAAGGUAUUUUGCUGAUUCCAUUAUUGUCACCUGUCUGUUUUUUUCAUUCUUCUGUGCCUGUUUUUUGAAACACUUAGGAGCUGUGGAGUCUUGGGAAUAACAGUUUCUAUUUGCCAUAUGUAGCAAAUCUUUCCAAGGUCAUCUUUUUGUGUCUUCUUUUAAAGAAGCAAGGCAGACAUACUCUGCAAAAUGAGAAGAUGGUAUUACUGCCCUACUCAGAAGCUGGCUGUUACCUCAUAUACAUGCUACUUUCCCAUUUAAUCAGAAAGAGAUUUCUCCUCUGGUGUCAGACAGCAUCAAAAUGUUGCUGCUCAGUGUCACUGGUAAGGAUUACAGGUUCAGGGGAAGUUACCUCCCUCCGCCUACUCCAGUAAAGUUUUUCCUGUUAAAACACAGAUUCAGUCAUGAGGGACAAUUGCUCUGGAAGGCUCUUAAACCAAAGUCACUGAAAUAUUAUUUGGAGAGGUAGCAGAUUAAUUAUGGUCUUCCAUUUGUUAUAAAUAUGACUGGGAUGGGCAUUAUAAUAGAAAUUAUAAGCACUCCUUAAUAUGUAAAGAUUGAUUAAAAUCUUUAACCUUUCUGUAAUAAAAGAAUAUCCAUUUCUGUAUCUCUCUUUACAUAGACACAUGUAUAUUUUUACUUAGUAAUAAGAGCUAGUGUUACUCUUAUAGACAGUAUAGUGUAAGGUAAAUUAAACAACUCUAUUGCUAUUUUGAGAACUUCUCUUUUUCUUAAUAUAGUGUGAAUCUAAUCUGGUGUACCUGGCUUGUUGUGCAACUCUUGCAACUCUGCAAGAGUCCCAGAGCAGAAAAAGAUUACAGCUGUUAACUAAAUGUAUACCAAUGUAAUUAAAGUGCAUUAUCUUUAAAGAAA